AUUGAACGCUGGCGGCAGGCCUAACACAUGCAAGUCGAACGAGUGGCGGACGGGUGAGUAAUGUCUGGGCAACUGCCUGAUGGAGGGGGAUAACUACUGGCAACGGUAGCUAAUACCGCAUCACAUCGGAUGUGCCCAGAUGGGAUUAGCUAGUAGGUGGGGUAAAGGCUCACCUAGGCGACGAUCCCUAGCUGGUCUGAGAGGAUGACCAGAGAAAGGGUAACUGAGACACGGGCCGUAAGCCUACGGGAGGCAGCAGUGGGGAAUAUUGCACAAGGGGCGCAAGCCUGAUGCAGCCAUGCCGCGUGUAUGAAGAAGGCCUUCGGGUUGUAAAGUACUUUCAGCGGGGAGGCGUUGCCCGCAGAAGAAGCACCGGCUAACUCCGUGCCAGCCGCCGCGGUAAUUC
rnacentral:rRNA from 1 species